rnacentral:rRNA from 1 species
AUUGAACGCUGGCGGCAUGCUUUACACAUGCAAGUCGAACGGCAGCGCGGGCUUCGGCCUGGCGGCGAGUGGCGAACGGGUGAGUAAUACAUCGGAACGUGCCCAGUAGUGGGGGAUAGCUCGGCGAAAGCCGGAUUAAUACCGCUUACGACCUGAGGGUGAAAGCGGGGGAUCUUCGGACCUCGCGCUAUUGGAGCGGCCGAUGGCAGAUUAGCUAGUUGGUGGGGUAAAGGCCUACCAAGGCGACGAUCUGUAGCUGGUCUGAGAGGACGACCAGCCACACUGGGACUGAGACACGGCCCAGACUCCUACGGGAGGCAGUAGUGGGGAAUUUUGGACAAUGGGCGAAAGCCUGAUCCAGCAAUGCCGCGUGUGUGAUGAAGGCCUUCGGGUUGUAAAGCACUUUUGGCGGGAACGAAAAGGACUGUGCCAAUACCACGGUUCGAUGACGGUACCCGCAGAAUAAGCACCGGCUAACUACGUG